rnacentral:rRNA from 1 species
UACGGGGGGAGCAAGCGUUGUUCGGAUUUACUGGGCGUAAAGGGCGCGUAGGCGGCCACCGCAAGUCGACUGUGAAAUCUCCGGGCUUAACCCGGAAAGGUCAGCCGAUACUGCGGGGCUAAAGUGCAGAAGGGGCAACUGGAAUUCUCGGUGUAGCGGUGAAAUGCGUAGAUAUCGGGAGGAACACCAGUGGCGAAGGCGGUUGCCUGGGGCUUUGCUGACGCUGAUGCGCGAAAGCGUGGGGAGCGAUCCGG